GUUGUUGAUUUGCGUAACAUGGAUAUUGAUAAUUCAUUAUUGUACCUGCUUCUAAAGAUGCUGUUAAUUAUUCUAUUCAUAAUCAACUUCGUUAGUUAAUGUGUUUGCUUCUCAUUAGCUAUUGGACCUCUCAUUCGGUAUGGGACGGUAAUAAUCAGGUAAACCGUGCAAGUGCAAUGUGACCUGGGAACAGUAUAUCUAACAGUAUAUAUGUUCCUGAUGUGACCCAGAAAAUAUGAGUCAGUUAAGGAAUAAUAGUACCGAUAAAUGAUAGGAGAAGGUGCUAGUCAGAACUCUGAAUAUUGCUUUUCAAGACUUUAAUUCUAAUAAUGAUAAUAUAACCGAAAUGCUGGACAUUAUUCCGUUAUUAGCAGAUAAAUUCAAGCUACACCAUAUAUAGUAGUGCGCGAUCCCACAAUGCAUCAGUUAGUACACACGAGGACCACGUGGUUUCGAAUUCUACUUCAUCAUUAAAUGGACAGAAGAAAUUUAAUCAACUUGGCCUCCAAACUUUCAUCAACCAUGCAGUCUUCCAGUGGAAAUGUUACGUUUCAUCACCGAACAGAAGCUAGUAAUCAUCAAAAAUCUUAUAAGAAUAAAAAUACUUGACAGGACAUAAAGCAGUCGAUUUUUCUACUUUCACUUCAACCGGAAGUUUACGAUGUGACUAUGUCAACAAUUGGAGGAAUCCCUACAACCUGGAGUAAGCAUACGAAGGAUCAGGAUAUGCAGCCUUCACUAGAAAUACUCUAUCAAAGACUGCAGCUGGUAAAAAACCAGGAAGUGUGUGGUGUCCGGAAUACAAGGUGAUAUGCAGCUGAAUUACUGCCUUUCUCCCCACUGAGGAAAACAUCACGUCAGGUACGAACUUCUUACUCAACCCUUAUUAUGCCGGGUCCAAAAAAAUGAAACUUCAAUUGGGGCAAUACAUAACAAAUCUAUUCCCAGGCUCACUAGGUCUUCAUCAAGAAGGGGAGUUUAUUCAAGUUUUUAGUUAUUAUAUAUAGUAACGUGCUCUUGUCUUCCCCCGAUGGAGAAUUAAUGUGAUUUCUAUAGGAGGGAUCACGUAGAUUUGACCACUUAUUACCCAGGUAUGGGUUCCUACGAAUAUCACUACUGUUCAUGUGCAGCUCAUUUGCCUUUUUACAACACAGCAGCAGAGUUGUCUACUAUAAACACUACUUUCUUGUGUAUCAUUUUUUCGCUAAUACUCAUCCAAACCUGCGUGGUAACACAUUUCCCACUCCUGGUUUUGCAACAGUCUUAUAAGCACAAGAGUAAGGAAUAACUAAUCGUGUAAGAGACAGAAUAUUUUUUUUUAGGUUGGGAAAUUCGUAAUAUUUUCAGAGGUAUCAGAGGAUGCGCAACUAUGAGAUGCUGCAAUAGUCAUGUUUGUUCGAUUUGUAUAGGGGAAAUCUAAAACAUAUGUAUAUACUGACAACAACAACAAAAAAACGAGAACUAUAUGGGCCCCAGAGUAUCAGAUCUGGCAACUUAAAGACAUUUUAGAUCCCCAUGUCAGUUUUGACUUUUCAGUUUCCACUUUAAAAUAUUAACAGUUUAAAUUAUCAGAAUAUUUGAUUGACCAUCCGUACUAUGGAUUUUUAAGUAGUUGAAUGGUGGAUUAAUAUCAGGCUUUCAUGCAGAAUUGCAACUGGAGUUAAGCAAACAAUAAUCAAUCAUCCAGGGUUGAGUGCCUUACCGUCUAGCCCAAGUAUUUGUAAAAAUCUACCUGAGCAAUUCUCAUCAAAAACACCUGUCUUUGAUCAACCACAGGUGUCUUACACAUUUAUGUUUUUUAAUGCUCACCAGGGUUCUAGCUUCCAUAGGUUUCAAGAUUUUUUUUACCUGUCUGGGUUCUGGAUAUUGCAUGUUUUCAACUGUCAGGGUUAUACCACAUUUCCAGAAUUUCCUGUCUGGAUUUAUCACAGGUUCAUAUAUUAUUUCCACCUGUUUAGGUUGGACCAAAUGUUUAAGACAUGAUACUGCUUUAAGUUUUAUAUUUCAGCAGUAAUUGGGACUAUUAUGGUAUAAUAGUCCCAGCUGGAAUGCUGUUUAUGGUUCUCAAGGAAUGUUAGUAGGUGAAAUUGUAACUAUAAUCCGCCUGAGGAGUGCUAGACGACUUGUCAGUACAAGUGAACUCAAGGUUAUGGUAUCUGGCAGAUUCAGCUGUGCAGGAUUCAACAUUCAUAUAUCCAGUGAAUAUUGGGACGUUAAGCAACCAACAAUCAAUCAAUCAAUCCAGUAAACAUUGUACCACAUUACGUACAUUGUACAUAGCAAGGCUGGCAGACCUGCUCUAUUUAUGCAGUCUCAAGAAUUUUUACCUCUCUUGGUUCUACCAAAUGUUAUUGCAUUUUAACCUAUUUGGGUUCUACCACAUGUUGUUAUAUGUCUCACUUAUCAGGGUUUUACUACGUACAGUAUUCAAGUAUUUUUAACCUAUCUGGGUUCUACCACAGGUUAUUGUUGUUUCACCUGUGGGUUCUACCACAGGUUUCUAGCUAUAGGCAUACUUAUAAUUCUGGUUUUCUAUGUUUUAAAACAUUUAUGGCUAUGACUAAUCAGAAUCAUAUUAGUGUACCAAUAAUAGAUGAAGAUUGUUUAAUUUAUUUGGUAAACUAUUGCAGAAUUCUCUUAAGCUAGCCCAUGCUACAAGUAAAUUGUAUUUAGCAGGAAUUAUGCAUAAUUACUUAAGAAUAGGGCAUCCUGACCCUUUGACAAAUUGUGCACGCUUAGAGUGUAUAUUAAGAGGUAUUAAAAAGUCUCAGAGUAAUGUCAAACAAAAGAGAUUACCUAUAACAUCUCAAAUUUUGAAACAAUUGUGCUGUAUGUUUAAGCAAGGAGUUUUUUCUGCAUUUGUUGACUAAAUGUUGCAGUGUGCAUUUAAUCUAGCUUUUUUUGGAUUUCUCUGAUGUGGUGAAUUUACGUAUAGUAGUAAAUUGCAAGUCAGGACACACUUUUAAUUCAAAAUAUUAAUUUAGACAUAAAUUUUUCAAAAUUUCACAUUACAUCUGAAUUCCGCCAAAUGUGACCCAUUUCGAGAAGGUAUUAACAUUACUAUUUUUGAAAAUGAUAUUUUCAACCCAGUUGAUUUGAUGAGAAGAUAUAUACAAGUAGGAAAAAAUUAUGGAGCUAGACCAGAUUCCUAGUUAUUUGUUAGUGACGAGUAUAAUAACGCUCCUUUGUCUAGAGAUACAUUUAUAUCUCUGCUUCGAGAUUUGCUGUUCAGAUAAGGGUAUAAUGAUAGAAAAUUUUGUGGUCAUUCUUUUCGAAAAAGUGCUGCAACAUCAGCAGCAGCAGCAGGGGUUGAAGACCAUAUUAUCCACACAUUAGGUAGAUGGUCAUCCAAUUGUUAUAUACGUUACAUUCCAACUGACCCAAAAACUGUUUGUAAAGCAUAAAGCAGAAUGUGUCGUUCCUAACUUAUAUCAAAGGAGUUAUAAGAACUACAUUUUGUUAAUUAUUUUAGUAUUGUAGUUAUUUCUUUUUUUUUUGUUUGUCUGUUUUCAUUUUCAUACAUGAAAUUAUAUUCAAGUACUUUUUCUUUCUAAUGGUAUAUUGAAUUUAUAUAUAUGUACAUGUAUCAUUUCUUGGGGGCUUUCACUCAUGCUACUCGUUCAAUUUGGCCUACUUAAUUUCAGGGAAAUUAUUUUCCCCCAAUUCAUUAAUACAUCUUAUAAAUUAUUAAGGCUUUGUUUUAUUUCAGGGUGAUAAUUAAGUUAGUUUUUGUACCUGUUGGGAUCUACCGCAGGAAUUCUCUUUUUUCAAAUUUAUACCCGUCUGGGCUCUACCAGUCAGGUUCUAAUAGUACCUGUUGGGAUCUACCGCAGGAAUUCUCAGUUUUCAAAAUUCAUACUUGUCUGGGCUCUACCACUCAGGUUCUAAAAGUACCUGUUGGGAUCUACCGCAGGAAUUCUCAGUUUUCAAAAUUCAUACUUGUCUGGGCUCUACCACUCAGGUUCUAAAAGUACCUGUUGGGAUCUACCACAGGAAUUCUCAGUUUUCAAAAUUCAUACUUGUCUGGGCUCUACCACUCAGGUUCUAAAAGUACCUGUUGGGAUCUACCACAGGAAUUCUCAGUUUUCAAAAUUCAUACUUGUCUGGGCUCUACCACUCAGGUUCUAAUAGUACCUGUUGGGAUCUACCGCAGGAAUUCUCAGUUUUCAAAAUUCAUACUUGUCUGGGCUCUACCACUCAGGUUCUAAAAGUACCUGUUGGGAUCUACCGCAGGAAUUCUCAGUUUUCAAAAUUCAUACUUGUCUGGGCUCUACCACUCAGGUUCUAAAAGUACCUGUUGGGAUCUACCACAGGAAUUCUCAGUUUUCAAAAUUCAUACUUGUCUGGGCUCUACCACUCAGGUUCUAAAAGUACCUGUUGGGAUCUACCACAGGAAUUCUCAGUUUUCAAAAUUCAUACUUGUCUGGGCUCUACCACUCAGGUUCUAAAAGUAUCUGUUGGGAUCUACUGCAGGUAUUCUCAUUUUUCAAAUUUAUACCUGUCUGGGUUCUACCAGUCAGGUAUUAAAAUAAAUUUUUCACCUGUCAGGGCUCUACUGCAGGUUCUUAAAAUUGCAUAAUAUAGGCAAUUUAUUUUUUAAUUAAUUUUAAAUUGUGUUGAGUAGGUAGUGUUUUUGAUUUGGUUAUUUUAAUUAGUAUUAUUGUAAGUUUUAAUGAGUAGCCCCCUAGAAAGCCAAAUGAUACAUUUAUUAUUAUUUUCAUAUGUAUUCAGUAUAAUAGAUUUAGAAUUGAUUGUGAAUAUGAUACUAGUAUACUGUGUAUACAAUGGUGUCUUAGUAUAUUAGUUUGUUAAUAAAAUUAGAAUAGUUA